GCAGGUCAGGUGACAUCAGGUUAUAGAAUAAGGGAUGGACAAUGGACAGAGAUUGGUCGAAAAUCGCCACAAAAACCACAGAUGUUUUAUAAUGCAACAACGCCGGGACUUGUGGUACAGAAAGGUGAUAUACUGGCUGCGAGAUGUACAAUGAAGAAUGAUUUGAACAGG